UAACGUAUAACUAUGUGCCCUAUGAUGCACAGUGAUUUGCAUACCUUCAUUUUACAUUUCGCCUAAUUUAAUUUUUUAUAAUACAUUAACAGCAGUAAGUCUCUUAAUAAGCUCGAUAGCAAACAAAUGUUCAACAAAUACAAAUACGGAAGAUCCGCAAAGAAGAUCGAAUUGAAUACUACCAAUAGUACGUGAAACUCUUAGGAAGCAAGCAUUUUGGCGAAAGGAAUCAAAAUAAUAGUAAAACUGGGGUUGGUAAGUAAAGAAGGCGGUCGAGUGAAAUUCGCAGGAGGUAGAAAUGCGGGCGUAAGGAGGGUUGGGUCUCUGACUCGAAGCAAUCGCGUCAGAUUGGUCCCGCAAAUACAGUAGAGGGAUAUUGUCGGUGUAGCCAAAAAGGCUUGCCGUGUUUGGAUGUACGACAUCGUAGUCAGAUCUCGGUAUAUCAACUGAAAUUUAUCAAAAACUCCGGCAACAGAGAAAAAAUUGAUAUUCACCUCCAAAAUGGCGAAGGAGCAGGCACAGAAGCAUGCGCGCAGCUCCAAGCACUCUCUUCAGGCGGAGCACCUCUUUUUCCUGAACUUGGCCGAUCCUUCGAGCAUAUUAAGAUCCGAGGAUCACAAUUUUUUGUUGUGCAAACGCACCGCACCCCGGAAAAGUACACGCCUCGUACGUGUCACGCACGUACGCACACACGCGCGAGACGCGACAAUCCGCGGUAACGCAACAAUACGGCACCCACUAUCAGUCGGACACACGAGAAUUCGCAAACUUUUUGACGCCUUUUCGUCUAGUCUGGGUAUACUCUACACAGCAGGCGAAUUCUCCGACGACGGUGAGUGGCGCUCUACGUUGGUCAAGUACUAAACUAGAAAAUAUUACCGGUAACAAAGAGCUACUUUUUUACCAAUUUUACUGAAUAAAGCAACAUUGAUAAAAAAGAAAAAUUGAAA